CUUUUUGAGCCAGGUUCCUCAGCAAGGUCAAAAGAAGUGGAUGAGUCCGGAGGAGGAGAAGAUUGGGGAUCAGUGGUUGUGGGAGUUGGUUUGUAGGCCAGAAGAAUUUGCAGAGGUUUGCAAGAGGUGCAGAGAGGAGGAUUGGAUCGGAGCAAGAAGAAAGCCUGGACUUAAGCCAUCUCGACCCAUUUUUUUGAACGCUCACAGUAAUUGUAGAGAUCCCUUAGAAUGGAGGGAUCCAGGGACCCAAAAGGGGGCCAUCUGCUUUGGUUGUUUAAGGGAUAAGUGGGCCAGGCCUGGGUGCUAUAUUUGAUCAAUUUUUUGGGUUUGAUGUCUGGUGUCAAGGAGAGGGUUUUGAGGUUAUCCAAGAGGCAUUGUAGGGGAGAGUCGACCAGCAGAGAGGACACAUUACCUACGUCACAAACGUAGUAUAAGGAGGAGGGAAGAGGACGCAAACGUAGUAUAGGGGAGAGGGAAGGAGGAAACUGAUUUAUUGGCAAAAGGGGCGUCCCCGCUAGAGCCAAAAAUCAAGAGUGCCUUAGUGGCAGGUUCGAGCUGCAGGGUUUGGUCGUCACCGAAUCCUGACAGUCGAGGCUCUCGUUCUGGACGGAGCCAGAGCCGUGGGAGACCUUGGCCAAGGCUUUUCGGGACCCCCCUUGAGAGGCCGGAGACUCCCAGGGCCAGAAAGAGGGGAGAGAGAGAGACAGG
rnacentral:lncRNA from 1 species